GGGGAAACUAACGUUAAUCCCGCAAAGACCUACGGGUGGAAACCGGGGAUCUUUCGGACCCUUGCGCGAUUGAAUGAGCCGAUGUCGGAUUAGCUAGUUGGCGGGGUAAGGGCCCACCAAGGCGACGAUCCGUAGCUGGUCUGAGAGGAUGAUCAGCCACACUGGAACUGAGACACGGUCCAGACUCCUACGGGAGGCAGCAGUGGGGAAUAUUGGACAAUGGGCGCAAGCCUGAUCCAGCCAUACCGCGUGGGUGAAGAAGGCCUUCGGGUUGUAAAGCCCUUUUGUUGGGAAAGAAAUCCAGCCGGCUAAUACCUGGUUGGGAUGACGGUACCCAAAGAAUAAG
rnacentral:rRNA from 1 species